AUGACUCUCUCUUUUACUUCCUUCUUCUCCAUUAUUCCCUUGCUCUUUGAUUUUCUUUCUUCUCCUUCUUCCUCUGUUGAUUAUUGGUCUCUUCUGUUUCGCUGUAUUAUUGUUUUUUUGAUGUUACUUCUUUGCAUCCGGGAAGCGUUGCAUGAGGUUCUACCUGGAAGCGCUGUUCACUUUGUUACUGGAUUUUUGAAGUCAAUGGAUGGCUUAAAAUUGUGAUUACCAAGAAUAAGUAUGCCUUUGCUACUUGAUUCGUCGAACACUUAACUCUGUUGAUAUUAGAGCUACCAUUCUUUAAGCUCGCUGGUAUAGAGAAGAAGAGUUGUUUAAUUGGAGUCUUGAGAGGAAACGGAACUAGAAAGCUCGACGAAAGGGAUAAGCUGUAUGAAUUUUCAGAAUAUCCUUAUCCACGAAGGGAAAGAACUAAAAGAACACUAUCAUACACAGCUUUGAAGAUGUAUUGGGAGUUUAUGAACAAGGAGCUCCAGGUUUUCUUAAGCAUCCAAUGCAACACGUUGUGAGAGUAGCUUCUGCUGCAAGAGAAAAGAAAGCUGGAUGAGGGAUUGAAAAAAUUGAGCGAACUUAUAAUAUGCCUUCAGCUAAGAAGCUUCUUGAAAUCCUAUUAGCUAGCGUUGGUAGUUGUAGAAGAACUGAGGAUUGGGCCUAAAGUAAUCAAGAAGCUGGAGACUUCAUCUUUAUGCAAGAAGAUGAAGGCGAGUAAUUACAUUUUGGCUGGACCCAACAACACUGCCCAAAAAAUCAACUUCGGGUUCAUAUGGAGCGAAAUCCUUCUAACCUGGCAAUAGAUUUAGUUAUUCCCGCACUCAAGGUGAAAAGAUCACGGCUGCUUGACCAUUAUAAGUUUGGUAGCAGACACAAGAUGGGAAAGAAAACCAAUUCAACUCUUUGUCUGGGGCUGAGUUUCAUAAGCAUAUAAUUCCUCGGUAGCUCUUCUUUUGAGAAGACAUAGAGCACAUGUGGAUGUUGCGGGCAAGAAAUGAUGCGCUGUACUUGAACAAGCUUCAGAUGAGGUGUGCUCAAAUUUGUGAAGUCAGCUGCUCCUGAUGCUGCUUUAGUUCCUUGGAGAAUCCAAGAAGAUAUGCAUGUUCAGUAUUAUUCUGGAACAAGAAACUAGAAGGCUGUCAACACAGGUGGACGGCUACACUUCACGACUUGAAAGAAGGUUAAUAUCUAAGUGGUAGAUUAAAUAUUGAGAUUCUUCUGGACGGUAGAUAGUUAUGGUUCUGACUUCUGUGUAUCAAAAUUUACAUUUAAUUGAAUUCAAGGAGAGUUAUUGCUAAUACAAGGGCGGGUAACUUAUUGUAUGAGCGGUGUUUUCAGAACCUAAAGAUACAAUUCUUUUGUGAACACAACAUGACUAUAACAAAGCAUCAAGUUAAAUUAUUCAGCCAAUUACGAAGUCAGGACCUGAAGAAGAUGGUGGCUUGUUGAAGCUGUAAUUCAACAGCCCAGGCGUGCACUUAUAAGGCAUUUAUAACUAAAAACACGGUGCAACAUUUAUAUCUGGCCUUGUUAUUUGAAAAUUUAAGGUAUAUUUUACCAACCUGUGUGAUGCAAACACUUAUUUUCAUGAGCUCAAGGUCUGUACUUUUAUGGAAUUUAAUUAUAACUAAAAACAAGAGCAACACUUUUAUGGCCUGUAUGAGCUUUAUUCAGCAAAUAGAACGAACUUAAGAAUAAGUCAAGCUCUCUGAGGAAUACCCUUGCAUCAACAUAAGCACCUGUGCAUUGAGUGUCUUAGAAUUUUUUUCUUCUAAUGUUGUUACUUUUCCCCCCUAUAUUGCAUGUCAAACAGAGUUGAUCAACUUGAUUUCUCUUUUGGGCUUUUGAUUAUUAAUCAUUUUUUGUUUAUCACAAUUUUGUUUUUAAUGUUUUGGUCUCAUUUAGAUCAGGUUAUGCCCUUAAUCUAAUGAUAAUUUUAUUUUCCCCC